rnacentral:rRNA from 1 species
AUUGAACGCUGGCGGCAUGCCUUACACAUGCAAGUCGAACGGCAGCACGGGAGCUUGCUCCUGGUGGCGAGUGGCGAACGGGUGAGUAAUACAUCGGAACGUACCCUGAAGUGGGGGAUAACGUAGCGAAAGUUACGCUAAUACCGCAUAUUCUGUGAGCAGGAAAGAGGGGGAUCGCAAGACCUCUUGCUUUAGGAGCGGCCGAUGUCGGAUUAGCUAGUUGGUGAGGUAAAGGCUCACCAAGGCGACGAUCUGUAGCGGGUCUGAGAGGAUGAUCCGCCACACUGGAACUGAGACACGGUCCAGACUCCUACGGGAGGCAGCAGUGGGGGAAUUUUGGACAAUGGGCGCAAGCCUGAUCCAGCCAUGCCGCGUGAGUGAAGAAGGCCU